rnacentral:rRNA from 1 species
CCAAUCCCGAUUCGGGGAGGUAGUGACAAUAAAUAACAAUACAGGGCCAACGGUCUUGUUAUUGGAAUGAGAACAAUUUAAAUAACUUAACGAGGAUCAAUUAGAGGGCAAGUCUGGUGCCAGCAGCCGCGGUAAUUCCAGCUCUAAUAGCGUAUAUUAAAGUUGUUGCAGUUAAAAAGCUCGUAGUCGGAUGUCGGGCUCGGGCAGGCUGUCGGCUUCGGUCGGACGGCAGGCUCGGGUCUUUCUGCCUGAGGAUCCCGUUGCACUUAAUCGUGGGGCGUGGGGACGCAGGCCGUUUAUUUUGAAAAAAUUAGAGUGUUCAAAGCAGGCCUACGCUUGAAUACAUUAGCAUGGAAUAAUGGAAUAGGACUUUGGUGCUAUUUUGUUGGUUUAUGGGACCGAAGUAAUGAUUAACAGGGACAGUUGGGGCCGUUUAUAUUUCGUUGUCAGAGGUGAAAUUCUUGGAUUUACGAAAGAUAAACUUCUGCGAAAGCAUUCGGCAAGGAUGUUUUCAUUGAUCAAGAACGAAAGUUAGGGGAUCGAAGACGAUCAGAUACCGUCGUAGUCUUAACCAUAAACUAUGCCGACUAGGGAUCAGUGGAUGUCAAUUUGCGACUCCAUUGGCACCUUGUGAGAAAUCAAAGUUUUUGGGUUCCGGGGGGAGUAUGGUCGCAAGGCUGAAACUUAAAGGAAUUGACGGAAGGGCACCACCAGGAGUGGAGCCUGCGGCUUAAUUUGACUCAACACGGGGAAACUUACCAGGUCCAGACAUAGUAAGGAUUGACAGAUUGAAAGCUCUUUCUUGAU